rnacentral:tRNA from 1 species
CAAAAGAUAAGCUAAAUUUAAGCUAACGGGCUCAUACCCCGUCUAUGAGACUUUAACCCUCUCUUUUUA